rnacentral:rRNA from 1 species
UACAGAGGCCCCGAGCAUUAUCCGGAAUCACUGGGCGUAAAGGGUGUCGAGGCGGCUCUGUUAGUCUCGCGUAAAAUCCGUGGGCUCAACCUACGGUUCGCGCGGGAAACGGCAGAGCUCGAGGGCGCAAGAGGUCUAUGGAACUCAUGGUGUAGGGGUGAAAUCCGUUGAUAUCAUGGGGAACACCGAAGGCGAAGGCAGUAGACUGGUGCGUUCCUGACGCUCACACACGAAAGCCAGGGGAUCGAACGGG